rnacentral:misc_RNA from 1 species
AAGUCGUAACAAGGUUUCCGUAGGUGAACCUGCGGAAGGAUCAUUAACGUUAAUUUUUAACUCUUAGAGAUCGAUCGCUCUUUCUCUAAAGGUUAAUUUAUUAUCUUUUAUUCUCUUCUCUUUUUUUUUAAAAGGCUUUCUUCUUUUAAGCUUUUCAUCAGCUUAAAUUUAGAAACAUAAGAACUAUUGAGCUCAGUCUCAAUCUUUAAUCUUUUCGGUUUUUUCUUAUAGAGGUCACUCUCUAUUAGUAUAACCAAAAGUUUUAAAUUUUUUACUUCUCUCUCUUUUUUUUUUUUAAAAACCCUAUUAACAACCUUCUACCAUAAUAGACUAACAUCAACAACAAGAAAUUGUUUAUAUCUAACACAUAAAACAACUCUUAGCAACGGAUAUCUUGGCUCUU